rnacentral:rRNA from 1 species
AAAAGCCCCCCUAGUUUGUUGGAGAGAGAUAUUCAGCCCACCCGGGAAAUGGGAACCCGGUCCAGACUUCCUCACGGGGGGCCACCGUGGGGAAUUUUCCCCAAUGGAGGAAAUCUUGGAUCCAGCAACGCCGCGUGGGAGGAUGACGCAUUUCGGGGUGUAAACUCCUUUUUAUAUGGGAAGAUAAUGCCGGUACCAUAUGAAUAAGCACCGGCUUAAUUCCGUGCCCAGCAGCCGCGGUAAUACGGAGGGUGCAAGCGUUACUCGGAAUCACUGGGCGUAAAGCGCGCGCAGGCGGCCUGAUAAGUUGGAUGUGAAAGCCUACGGCUCAACCGUAGAACUGCAUCCAAAACUGUCAGGCUAGAGUGUGGGAGAGGAAGAUGGAAUUAGUUGUGUAGGGGUAAAAUCCGUAGAGAUAACUAGGAAUACCAAAAGCGAAGGCAAUCUUCUGGAACACUACUGACGCUGAGGCGCGAAAGCGUGGGGAGCAAACGGGAUUAGAUACCCCGGUAGUCCACGCAGUAAACGAUGAAUGUUAGUCGUCGGGUAGCUAGUCUAUUCGGUGAUGCAGCUAACGCAUUAAACAUUCCGCCUGGGGAGUACGGUCGCAAGAUUAAAACUCAAAGGAAUAGACGGGGACCCGCACAAGUGGUGGAGCAUGUGGUUUAAUUCGAAGAUACGCGAAGAACCUUACCUGGCCUUGACAUAUUUUAGAACAUUUUAGAGAUAAGAUGGUGCCUUCGGGAGCUAAUAUACAGGUGCCGCACGGCUGUCGUCAGCUCGUGUCGUGAGAUGUUGGGUUAAGUCCCGCAACGAGCGCAACCCUCGUCACUAGUUACUAACGGUUCGGCCGAGGACUCUAGUGAGACUGCCUUCGCAAGGAGGAGGAAGGUGAGGACGACGUCAAGUCAUCAUGGCCCUUACGGCCAGGGCAACACACGUGCUACAAUGGUUAGGACAAUGAGACGCGAUACCGCGAGGUGGAGCAAAUCUAUAAACCUAAUCUCAGUUCGGAUUGUUCUCUGCAACUCGAGAGCAUGAAGCUGGAAUCACUAGUAAUCGUAGAUCAGCUAUGCUACGGUGAAUACGUUCCCGGGUCUUGUACUCACCGCCCGUCACACCAUGGGAGUUGAUUUCACCCGAAGCGGGGAAGCUAAACUGGCUACCCUCCACGGUGGAAUUAGCGACUGGGGUGAAGUCGUAACAAGGUACC